rnacentral:rRNA from 1 species
UACGUAGGGGGCAAGCGUUGUCCGGAAUCAUUGGGCGUAAAGCGCGUGUAGGCGGCCCGGUAAGUCCGCUGUGAAAGUCCAGGGCUCAACCCUGGAAUGCCGGUGGAUACUGUCGGGCUCGAGUCCGGAAGAGGCGAGUGGAAUUCCUGGUGUAGCGGUGAAAUGCGCAGAUAUCAGGAGGAACACCGAUGGCGAAGGCAGCUCGCUGGGAC